UGUCAACCGGCAGCACUACGUCAACUGGUCCAUCAAGCAAGCUGAUGAAAUUAUGCAAUACCUUAAGAUAUGGCAGUCGAGAUCGGAUGAAGAGAAUGUUAAACAAGCUCAGCAUUUCAAGGAUAUUGUAAGCACUGUACUUCGUGUGGCGUUGAAGGCUGAGUACACGUGGGUUAAGGGCAUUGGUCAGGAUCACCGUGACCUGAUGGAUUGGUUGCAGCUGCUAGAG